AUUGAACGCUGGCGGCAUGCUUUACACAUGCAAGUCGAACGGUAACAGGCCUUCGGGUGCUGACGAGUGGCGAACGGGUGAGUAAUGCAUCGGAACGUGCCCAGAGGUGGGGGAUAACGCAGCGAAAGCUGUGCUAAUACCGCAUGUGAUCUGAGGAUGAAAGCGGGGGACCAAGCAGCAAUGUUUGGCCUCGCGCCUCUGGAGCGGCCGAUGUCAGAUUAGGUAGUUGGUGGGGUAAAGGCCUACCAAGCCGACGAUCUGUAGCUGGUCUGAGAGGACGACCGGCCACACUGGGACUGAGACACGGCCCAGACUCCUACGGGAGGCCGCAGUGGGGAAUUUUGGACAAUGGGCGCAAGCCUGAUCCAGCAAUGCCGCGUGCGGGAAGAAGGCCUUCGGGUUGUAAACCGCUUUUGUACGGAACGAAAAGGCUCUGGCUAAUACCUGGGGCUGAUGACGGUACCGUAAGAAUAAGCACCGGCUAACUACGUG
rnacentral:rRNA from 1 species